AUGGGAACGCGAAGAACCUUACCUAGACUUGACAUCUUCUGCAUUAAUCGUAAUGGAUGAAAUCCCUUCGGGGACAGAAUGACAGGUGGUGCAUGGUUGUCGUCAGCUCGUGUCGUGAGAUGUUGGGUUAAGUCCCGCAACGAGCGCAACCCCUAUUAUUAGUUGCUAACAUUAAGUUGAGCACUCUAGUGAGACUGCCCGGGUUAACCGGGAGGAAGGUGGGGAUGACGUCAAAUCAUCAUGCCCCUUAUGUCUAGGGCUACACACGUGCUACAAUGGUGGGAACAAAGAGAUGCAAUACCGCGAGGUGGAGCUAAGCUCAAAACCCCAUCCCAGUUCGGAUUGUAGGCUGAAACUCGCCUACAUGAAGCUGGAGUUGCUAGUAAUCGCGAAUCAGAAUGUCGCGGUGAAUACGUUCCCGGGUCUUGUACACACCG
rnacentral:rRNA from 1 species